CUAUUGAAGCGUUCUUUAGACCAUAUCAAUGAUAGUGAUUUGAGAUAUUUUUUCUCGUUUAAAUUGGCCUCAAUGGCUUCUUCAUAACUCCUCACCUUUUCAAGUUUCCUAAUACACAGGUGACGAAGGUCCCUGAGGUUCUUUAGUUCACCGAUUUUGUAACCACUCUCCUCUCGAACAAUAAAAUUUUCUAAUUUGUGGAUGAAGGAUAGUUUGCUAAUAAAAGGAAUAUUUCUUAUCACAUCAUUGGAAACAACUAAUGAACGCAAAUUGACCAAGUUGGUCAAGCCAUCAUAUUCAAUAUUUUCGUUCAUAACUUGCCCUUGUGAAAGAGAUAGGUAGCGGAGGUGUAUCAAGCUACUAAGUGCAUCGGGCAGUUUAUGAGAGUGAAUAUUCACAUCUAAGAUCAAUAAGCGUAACUUUUUAAACCUUUUUAUAACCUCGAGAAAUUCAAGUGCAUGAUCUGCAUUAUGCUCAUUAUCCUCUCUAACAGAAAUGACAAGAGUGCGCACAUUCUUAAGAUUGGAGAUCUCUCUGAUGGAAAGAAGAUUUAUCAUAUCAACAGAUAAAUGUCGAACUGUUUUUGGAAUAAUAUAUCCUGCAACAUCACCUUCUAUUCUGAUGCAUUCCCCUAAAGAAACUGAUUGUGCUAGGUCAUGUAGCAGAUCGUGCAUCAAAUACUUUUUAGUAAAUUUCAACCCAUUAUCACUGAUUUUGCAAGUAAAGAAUGAUUUUCUUGUCAGAAGAUUUAAAUACUCAUUUCCGAUAUCGUCUGGCCUUUGCCUGCCACAAAUAGAUUCUAAAAUCAGACCCGAACCAAUCCACAUAUUGACCAACUUUUUCCUCUUAAACAUAUGAUCCUGUGGAAAUAAACUACAAUAUCUAAAGCAGAGUUGUAAGUUUGUGGUUAAGUGAUCGUAGCUUAAUCUCAAAAUUGUCAUAAUGCUGUCCUUUCCAUGUUGUAAUUUCAUGAUGUCUUCUUCCAAGAUUUUCUUCCAAUAUUCAUAGUCCAUGCGGUCGUUCAGCAUUCCUCCUAUGAUCUUAAUUGCCAAUGGGCUUCCUCCAAGUUUCUUCACUAUCUGCUCACCGAUCAGCUGCAAGUUUUCAUAAUCACCAGGGUUCACACCGAGAAAUGCAUGCUUAUUGAAAAGCGACAUACAGUCGCUCUCCUCCAACUUAUUUAGAUUUAAUGAUUCCCGUUUGCAUUUCAUCACUUUUGCCGCCAUAUCCACAACUGAACCCAUCCGAGUUGUCAACAAGAUCUUGCUUCCUCUCUGUCCGAAUUUCAAAGGAGCAACCAAUUUCUCCCACUCCGUGGUGUUAUCAUCGUUCCAAACAUCAUCCAGUAUGAGCAAAAACCUUUUUGAUGUAAGUUUUUGUAUAAGAUCCUUAUGGAGAGCAUCUAGAGUAGUUGAGCAAGAGUUGUUUAACAUUUUUCUUAUUAUCGCAGCUGCAUCAAAGUCCAGAGAAACGCAGACCCACAUAAUCGGGCUGAAGUACUCUCGCACCCUUUCGUCGCAAUUGACUAGUUGAGCAAGAGUGGUCUUCCCGAGCCCGCCCAUACCAACAAUUGUAAAAGCGGAGACGUUGACAUCGGCAUCUCCCGGUUUGAUCAGCCAUUCAACUAUCAGGUCCCGCUCCUCGUCUCGUCCGAGCACAUCAGUUUCGGUUAGCAAGGAGCCAGUCUCGCGAGCAUUCUUAACGUCCUCGAGUUUCUGACGGUUAAGGCCAGGGCCAUAUAACCCAGUAACAAGAUGAAGGAGUGGCCCCAUACCGGCAAUGACCCGAUCCAGCCCCUUGACGGCCUCCCUCAACCGCUUCAGUGUGUCAUCGCUAAAUAUACGAUUAACGAAACUAUCAAACUUUCUCUUGCAGUUAGAUAGAAUACCACGCACCUUGUCAUCUCGAUCUCGUAUAGUCUUCUUCUGUAACUCGUAGUACUCCAGCUCGUCGAGCGCGUCCUCCGCGUUCUCCACGGCGUCUCUGAGCUGCCACAGCCACGUUUCCAGCGCCUUGUUCUGCGCCAUGACCGGCGCACCCUCCUCGACUGCAGUCAAGACUGCCUGGACCUGCGGAAGUGCCUGCUGCAGCCGUUCGAGCUCGUCCUGCAUGCCGCUGGUCGCCGGGUACACCUCAAGGUAGGAUAAGCACGUGCUGACAAGAUUGUCGAUGAUCGCCGACGCCACCGAUUCGGCAAUGAAAGGUAAAGCCAUUAUUACGAUCCUCCUAUAUAAUGGCUCGAGCUCCUACUACUUCACCACUACUCGAUCGGGCAAUUGAUCAAACUCCUGGAGUGAAACAGUUGGACGAAGAGGAAGAAAGAUUUAGGAGGAGAAAUAAGUUCUCCAAUGCUGACAUCCAAAGUGGAGGACACCGGCUACGAAAUAAUUAAGCAUGACUGCUUUAUUCGACAACAAAAUUAAGCCCCCUACUAACUAAGUGGGUGUGUUGAUUCCCCAAUUUUCUUUUUUUUAAAAAAAAAAAAAAUUUGAAAACCAGUGCAUGUUUUUCGGGGAAAAAAAAUAUAAUUUUUAUUUUUUGAAUAGGGAAGAGAAUUUUAGGAUAAAAUUUAGAAACUAAACAAGCUAAAUAAAAAUAAUAAUAAAAAAUUGAGCUAGAAAAUUAUUUUCAAGAAUAUAUUUUCAGAAAUCAAAGACUAAAUCAAAAUAUGCCCACUUUAAUUCAGUAGCAAGCAAGUUAAGCCUCUGGAGACAAGCAGUUUGUUUCAAAUUAAUUUCUAACAAGCAUAUAGCUAGGACAUACCAAAAGAAUAAGGGAAAACUUUAAAAACCCCUCCCCGUGGUUUCGUGCAUUCUCACUUUGCUACCCUGUGGUUUAAAACGUAUCAAUUUGCCCCCCUGUGGUUUCGUUUUUAUCUUUUUGUUAUCAAUUUUAUUAUUAUUUUUUUUAAAAAUCAAUGACAAAGUUAAAAUUAAAGGAUACUAAAGUGCCUAUUCGAUAAAUAUAGAUGGUUAUCUGAAGUUUUUUGUAUAUAAUUUAACGAAAUAUUAACGAAAAAGCUUCCGAAAAGAUAAAAAUGAAACCACAUGGGGGUAAAUUGAUACGUUUUAAAUCACAGGAUAGUAAAGUGAGAAUGCACGAAACCACAGGUGAAGUUUUUGAAGUUUUCCCAAAGAAAAAGAAACUGGGGAGGAGUAAUUUCUUGAAUGCUUCUGGGAAGAGGGAGGAAAUGAAAUGGAAGUGUUUCAUGGAGAAGACUUACAGGUCAAAUUUGUCUGCCUUCUGUGACAGCCAACCAAACUCAAUUACUGCUGACAGAGGAAUCUGUCCGGCCCCACCCCACUCCACACCCUUCCCGAGGGAGAAAUUACGGUCUGCAUAACCAAUAAUAGAGGUUUAUAGAUCGUGCAAGGGGAAAAUGUACAAAGAGCCUCUUAACUUUAAUUAACUCUUUUGUAAUGGGUUUGGUUGUUGAUAUUCAGGGCCCGAGUUUGAAUCAUUCCAGUUGAUUUAUAUUUUCAGUUAAGUUUAUUUCUAAUUGAAAUAAACGAAAUGAAUAAUAUGCUAUUUAUUUCUGAAAAAAAAAAGAACUCUACCGAACCAAUAAUGUAUAUUAAAAUAUAUAGGAUAAGAGUCAGGCUGUUAUGCUAUCGAUAGCACCAAACACUUGGUGUUAUCAAGUUUUCUGCCGUUAGAUUAAUCCCUUUGGUUGUUGAUAUUCAAGGUCGUGUUUCAUGACCCCACGCCACCCUAAACUGAUGGUGGAAUUAUUGGCCCCUACUAUGUAGUGGAUAAUAAAGCAUAAGUGUAAAUUACACUUUGGUGCUCAAAUCAUACAUUUUAAUUCUCAAAUUUUAAUUCAUUGCAAUUUUUGGCUUGAAUUGUGAGAUGCGUGACAAGUCCUCGAACUUUAAUUUAUUGUAAUUUUUGUUUGAACUAUGAGACACAUAACGCUUUAGUACCGAACUUUAAUUAGUUAUAAGUUCUCAUACAUCGCGUCAAAAUUUGGAAUGAAUUAACUAGCACUUUUUACCGGUGCCUUGUAGAUAGCUCUAAAUGUUUUCUUGCAUGAUCAAAAACAAACUCUUAAUUUUCAUACGAUGCCCCUAGAUGAUGAUAAAUUGUUCACAAUCUUUACUUUAAAUUAUAAACUCCAUACGUCAUCUUAAAUAGUCUACACUGAAAGUAAUUAAUGUCGCUCAAUAUUUGACACAUAAAAGUCUUAGUCUUAAAAAAAAUAUAAAUCAUUUAUUGUUCUCGGAAUGUAAUAAAUUAUUUGCUAUUUUGUUUUUUUUUUUUUUUUGCUUUUUUUUUUGUUCGUCCUGAUUCAAAAUGAUGGAUUUAUUUGCUAUAUAAAGUUUAUGGGCUUUUGCUUAUAUAGCUCUUACUACUAUAUAAAAUCUUUAAAUUUAUCCCCUUCAUUCUCAAAAUAUUCUUCCAAACCACAAAUCUCAUUAGUAAAUACUACAGUUGUGGAUAUAUAUAUUGAAGAAGUUUUAUAAAAUCAAUGAAAAGCCAUUUUGAUCGACCAAAAAUAUAUUAGAUAUUUUUUAGUCAAUUUCUUGUAUGCUUCUUGGAUGAGGAGGGAGAAAAUCAAAUGGAAGUUUCAUAGAGAAGACUUUCAAGUCAAAGUGCAGGAAAUUUUUCCACACUCCGAAACAAAUUUUUCCACACUUCAAGACAUUCUAAGCAAAUAUUUAAAAUUUUAUCCGAAAACGAAUUCGGACGGGGUGAAUUUAUUCAAUACUAAAUGGAUAUCAUUUCAAAUACAAAUAUAAAAGCCGAAAACUCGGCUGAUUUUGAUUGAGAUAUGAAUUUUGUCUGUACUCGUUCUUAAACCAAACAAGACACGAACUAGAAUUGAUUUUACAUAAUAUAAUAAAUAUAAAGAGUUGAGCUGAAAUGCUAUCGGUAGCAAAUGAACUCUGUUGCCACCUAUUUGUUCUGAUGAUGGAGCAUCCAAAUCGAUAAUCGACACCAUUGAAUAUGAUCUAUACUACUUGAAGCAUCUACAAACUAAAUUUCAUAUUUUUUUCGAUAUUAUUCUCUUGUGCAUUAAGUAGACACAAAAAUGAACAGCUGAGAAUGAAUAUCCUUUAAAAAGUGAUGAUAAGAAUAUUAUAAUCAAGACCAAGAGCAUAGAUCUUGUACUAAAUAGUUUAAAAAAUUUUCUAACCAAAAUUCAAUUGAUUUGAAUAUCUUUACACCGUUAAACGAGAAAACAUCUCAUAUCGACUAUUAAAAUUAUAAAUUUUGAAACUUUUUAAUCAUUAGGUCAAUGAUAUCAAAAAGAUUUGAAAUUCGGUUUCUAAAUAUUUCAAGUGGUAUAAAUCAUUUUCAAGAAUGCCGAUCGUUGAUCUAGAGGCCCCAUCAUCGAAAAUAAAUGGAUGGCAACGGAAUCCAUUUGCUACUGAUAGCAUUAAAGUGGUAUUGAUCAUAUUCUUAAAGAGAGAGAAAGUGAGAGAGAAGCCUAUGUAAACACUGUCGAAAAAUAAGAGACUGUACAAAAAAGGUGUGUAGACCAAAAAGAGAAACUGAAUUAAACUGAACUGUUCCGCAAAAUCUGAAUGGAAACCAAACUUACACAGAUUGAAAACUGAAUUUCUUUUUCAGUUUUGAUUUUGUUUUUGCGUCGUCAAUGUUAAUUUCUUUCUGAAAAUUGAAAGAAUAAAAGUAGAUAGCUGUAGGAUGUGACCGCAAGUUGAUUCCUGCUGAAGUGCAGCAGCCCUUUUUUUUCCAAAUUUACUCUCAAAAUCGAUGUACAGUCCUCAAUAAAAACUUAAGAAGUUUAACAAAAUUUGAAGUAUAAUUUAUGCCACUGAAAGUAAAUUCACAACUUUAGACCUGGGAUACUUUGUCUACUUCAAACAAGCUCAACAACUUCAUCAGAUUACAGUGAAAAGAAAAACAAAAUCUAAAUAAAACAAGCUCAUCAAGCUAUAAGAUUUGCUAUCUUGCUAUAACACAGAUUAUUACUCUGCCUUCGCACGCUUCACUAAUUAAAAAUACAUCUCCAAAUCUCAUUCUCCAAAAUAUAUAAUGUAAUUAUCCUUACUUACUCAAAUAUAUAAUGUAAUCCGAUGCGAAGAGAUGGCUGGGAGAGCCAUUAGUAUGACAAAACUUUGGCUAUCUGUGAUUGGAGACUAAUAGGAGUUUAGUACUCUAUCUACUCUAAACAUUCUAUCUUUUGUCUAGUUUUGGUUAUCUUCUGUUUUUUUGCUCUUAGCCAGAGUUUGUUUUUGGUUUUUGGACACAGCAGCUAGGCAGUGGUAAUUGUAAUGCUCUCUCAAUAGGGUACAUCCCUGUCUCCUCAAAAAAAAAAAAAAAAAAAAAAAAAAAAAAAAUCCUUACUUACACUCAAAUAUUCCUUAUACUUUAAAAUGUUCUUUCGCUUGCUAACUGGUCUCCGAACAUUAAUUAAGCAGUAAAACGAAAUAACAAUUAAAAUUAAGCUACAUUAAAGACACCAAUCACAAUAUACAUAUAUAAAUAGACUAUUUGUAGUAGUCUUAUUCCAAUCCUGCACCAAGAAAAAUAGGUAAAUGUACACAAAACAGUAAAAAUUUAACCAUAAUUCAUAACAAUGACGAAAUCGAUAGACUAUAGUAAUAGGAGUCUUUUUAAUUCACACACCAUGGAGAACAAAAAGAAAAAUACAAAUAUAUAGGCAAAUAUAUAGGCAGUUUACUUUGGUCUUGUUACAUUCCUAUAUAUAGAGAAAUCAAUAGUCUUUAAUUCGUUCUCCCACCACCAAACAUAGAAUAUAAGCAGUAACGCUUUAGUUUUUUUGUGCAGUCAAUGCGAAAUUAAUCUAAAGUUCUUUUAAAAAUGUAAAGAAAGUAAAUGUAAGAUACUGCAGGAUGUGGUUGCAUGUUGAUUCUUGCUGCAGCAUAGCCUUCAUUCUCCUCUUAUGGCGAGUUGACCGAAUAGACAGAGUCUUGUCCAUUGAGCAGCUAGCGCGAGAGCCUGCACUAAACACAAAGAAGAAGUUAAACAAAAUUUAAAAGCAUGAUUUAUACUGCUGCAAUUGAGUUCACAAGUUUAAUCUGGGUGCCUGUUGUACUGCUAAAAAACUAAUAAUAAUUUGAAAAACAUUUUAAAGCAAUGUUUAACUGUUGCAUUGGAUAAUACACAAGACAAAACAAGCUUAUGACCAGGCUAUGAGAUUUGCUAUUUGUACAGGAAUAUUCAAACACAAAAUUAUCUUUAGUAUAUACGAAUAUAAAUUAAGGAGAAACAAAAUUGAAGCAUUUAACCUCCGUGCUGCAAAAGAGGGCAAUUUCUUUCUUAAAGAUUUUACAUUAGUUUGGCUGCUACACACACACAAAAAAAAAGCAUGGAAUCUUACUCUGAUCCUGCACCAACAAAACUGAAGAACACAAGCAUAAAGUAACAAAUUAGUCUUUUUCUCAUAAUUAAUCGUAUGAAUAAAUUGAUAGGACAUGACCAUGAAUUGGGAGUCAUAUAUGAGUCCAGUACUAAUUAAAUAGAAGAACAUAAGCGGCAAGGCUUUAGCCAUGUUGUGCUCCUACAAUGAAGUCGAUAGACUACAAUACAAGUCUUUUUCACCCAUGCACCAGAAAACUAAAAAGAAGAGAGAAUACAUAGAGUGAUUGUAAUCAUGUUUUAUCCCAGAUAAGCAAAACUAGAUUCAGCGGCAAUAUAUAUGGAGUCCUAAUCAAUACAUGUUCCCGCACUACAGAAAUAGAACAUAAGCAGCUAAACUUUACUAGUCUCGUUUUAUAUUCUUGAACAAAUUGAGUGAAAUACAUAUAGGACUAGUGUUAUCACGUUACUGCAGUCCUGCACCAAGAAAUUAAAAUAACUCGAAAGCUUUUGUCGCGCGCACGCGCAACUCUUAUAUAUGUUCUAACUCAUCACUGGACAAUUAGUCAUAUUUUUUAACUCUAGAAAGCAAUUGAUAUACUAGCAAUUAACAUAUGUUAUAUUAUUCAUUACAUUGCUUGUUUUACAAGACCAAUCCGUCCAGCGAGCGUAACAUCAUGUAUUAAUCACAGGGCGCAAUUAAUUGGCGCUAUAUUAAUUCCCGUAUUAUGUAUCCAAAUUAACCAUAAAGUGUAAGGGUAAAAAUUAAAAAUAUAAAAAAUUCCUAAUGGAGGAUGCUAGUUAAAGACGAACCUGACUGCUGUUGCAUUAUUCGGGAAAAGAAGGAAAUUAAUCAAUCCUGAAACAAAUUAGAUAACAGUUGUUGAUUAAGAUGGAACGAGAUGUUGUAGCUCAUUGAAAUCGAAACGAAUUGCGUUAAUCGCAGAGAGUAUAUAGCAGGGGCGAGAUGAAGGAUGGUAAAGUAAACGAACAAUUAACUCUGCAACUGUUUAAUCGUCACAUCAGGGAUGUUGGCAAUCUUGGGCCAAUCAAGGCCUAUAUUCUCUUGGCAUCGCUCCUUCAACACGGGGUGACACCUGGUGAUGUAUAGUUCACGCAGUGAAGCAGGCAGAUCUGGAAGAGACUGGAUGAGAUUAGCAUUCACUACGUCUAAAUGCUUGAGGGAGCACAGUUUUGUCACGCUCUGGGGUAGGGACUGAAGGGAGAUUGCAUUCCAUAUGUGUAAAGUUUCGAGGGCAGUGUGAUUUUGCAGUAGCCAUUCCUCAGGUAAGCUGGUGAGUCUCGAAGCAUCAGAGAGAGUCAAACAGUUGAUGGAGGAGAGACUUCUCAAUGGCUCCAUGAGCAGGAGCGCGUGGUGGUCAAUCGAUAGACUACCAUUCUUCAAAAAGCAGUCCAUUACUGCAUUCUUGUUUUGGCAGACAUCGUUUGGGAACGGAGGGUGCAGCAGCAGGGCAACUUCAAUUAGCUUGUCACACCCUUUGAUUUCUAAAGAACGGAGGGAUACAAGAGCUUGUAUUCCGCCAAAUGAUGACAGUCCUUUGCAGUUCUUUAUCACUAAGUAGGAAAGCAUCGUCCACCGUGCACACGCUUGUGCUGCGGGAAGGGAUGUUAUGCUUGGGCAAUCGACUAAUUGCAACCAGGAAAGAGAGGUUAAAUUUGGUAAUAACUGGAGCAAUGGCACCUCAAGGUCGCCACAAGACCCAAUGGUGAGUUGAUUGAGUUUAGAGGGCAGUUGGAUGUCUGAGAUCCCACGGUUUGUCAACUGCGGGCACUUUUCUAUACACAGCCAAUCGAGGGUGUCGAAUUUCUGAAAAAACUCUAGUGGAACAUAUUCGAGCUUCUCACAUUGUUGGAUGCUUAAGUUUCGAAGACCCUGAGAAUGUUCUUGCCGCUGCAAGCAAGAAAAGAGAUGUAAAAGAUAUUUAAGUCCGGGCAAUCAUAGCCGUGCAAAUACGAAUUAAUUGGUGUUUUAUUAUAGAGAAAUACUUCUAUACACCGACCAAUUUAAAUCCGACCAUUCAAUUUUUGAGGUUAAGAUUGACUUUUACACAAUGAUAAUCUGCUCAAUAGGUUACCAAUCAAUUAUAAAGAUAAUAUUUGAAAGUAUGCAUUAGCUAAUUAUCAAAUUUGAUAAUAUCCAACAAAUCUUCAUUUCCUAAUUUAAUUUUGUUACUUACCAACUUAGAUAAUGGCUAAUUUCAUAAGUGAUAAAUCUUCAUAAAUUCGAAUUUAAAAUUUAACUUGAGUUUAAACUUUGUAUUUAUAAUUGUAUAAACUAAAUUUAAAUUUUAGAAAGAAAAAUUUAUAUUUAAACAAGUAAACAUUUCAAUUCAAAUUAUCAAUUUAAUAUUAAACUAACAUGAAAGUUCAAAAAUUAAUGUUACUAUCUUUAAAAUUGUAAUUUAAGUUAUAGUGUAUUUAUAAACUUUUAUUAUUUUUUAUUUAAAUAAAAGAUUUCUACAUUUUUAAAGUGAGUUGAAAGUUUAGAUUCCAAUAUUGAAAAACAGCAUUAAAUUUUCAAAAUAUUGAUCAAAUUUGACAUUUAAAUUUAGCUUUGAUUUGAUAUGAUAUACUUAAAAAACUAAAUUUUCUGUUAACUAUUGGUAGAAACAUAACAGUUUCGAUGUUUGAAAAUUAACUUUUUAAAUUAUUAAAUUACUAAAUUUAAGACUCAAAUCGAUCAUUAAAACUUAUUAUUAAAAGUCGGCUUUAAAAAUGAGAUAAUUUAAGUUAAAAGAUUAAUUUAUUCUUCUCCAUGAAUUUUAAGGUUGUUAUAUGCAAAGACUUCAGAUUAUUAGUUACUUUAAUUCUUUUAAUAUUAGCUUUUUUUUUUUCAAAAAACACCCCUAAAUCACAACUGGGGGUGACCGGUUACUUCUGUGGCUGCAACAUAGCAGGUCAUUCUUUUUAGUGAUAAAUCGUUCAUUGAUUAAAAAUAAACGGCUAAGAUUACAACGGAGUAUUGAAGCAUUUCUCAACUUCAAAUUGCACCCCGUGUGGUUAAUUAAACUCAUUUUCACCUUGCCACCUUGCGGUUCAAAAAGUUUUACUUUGCCGUCCAGUGGCUUAAUUUUUAUUUCAUCAAAAAAAUUCUAUAUGAAAUAGAAGGCAAAUUAAAAAUAUUUUUAAAAAAAUCACAGGAGAGCAAAGCAAAAAAUGAGCUAAACCAAAGGAGGCAAAGUGUAACUUUUUAAACCAUGAGAUAGACAAAAGUAAAAAAUGGGCAAAACCAUAGGGGGGAAGAGACAAAGUGAUACAUUUUGAACUACAGGGGGGUUAAAUGAAAAUGAACUAAACCUCAGGAGAAAUUUGAAGUUUAUAAAAUAAAGCACUUACAUUGUUGUCCGUGUAAUUCCGAUUUAUUGUUGGAAGAGUGGUCAAGCCGACAUUUGAAAUGUGCAAUUGUCUUAGACUAUAAGGCAGAGUAGGAAUUUUCCUCAAAUUAGGGCAGUCGAUGAUAAUCAUAUAAUGAAGUUGAGGAAACAUGCACCCAUCAUCUACUUGAAUCCACUCCAAGUUAGGCAUGCGCCAUAAAUGUAACUCCUUCAACGAUGGAAAGGCACAUCCACUGCUGCUUCUGAUGAAUGAACAAUCUAUUUGCUUUAUUGCAUCCAGUCCGCACAAGCAUAGAGAUUGGAGCGAAGAAAACUGCCCAAGAGGUGGAAGGUGCUCCCAUCCUUUACAAUCAAUCAGUUUGAUGGAUGUCAAGUUGACAAAAGACAGAUUUGUCAUCCAACAUGGAGAUUUAGCACCUUGGUAUUGUUCGAUGUGCAUUUUCUUGAGAUUGAUAUGAGGGCAGAGGUUAUCGAGGAGCUGCUCAUCCGCUUCUGCACUAUUAGAGCGGUCUUCAGACCAUUCCAAUGAUAGUGAUUUGAGAUAUUCUUUCUCAUUCAACUUGGCCUCAAUGGCUUCUUCAGAAGUCCUCAUAUUUUCAAGUUUCCUAAUACACAGGUGACGAAGGUCCCUGAGAUUCUUUAGUUCACCAAUUUUGUAACCACUCUCCUCUCGGACAAUAAAAUUUUGUAAUUUGUGGAUGAAGGGUAAUUUGCUAAUAUAAGGAAUUUUUUGUAUCACAUCAUCGGAA
rnacentral:lncRNA from 1 species